UACGUAGGGUGCAAGCGUUAAUCGGAAUUACUGGGCGUAAAGGGAGCGUAGGCGGUCCCUUAAGUCUGAUGUGAAAGCCCACGGCUCAACCGUGGAGGGUCAUUGGAAACUGGGGGACUUGAGUGCAGAAGAGGAAAGUGGAAUUCCAUGUGUAGCGGUGAAAUGCGCAGAUAUCAGGAGGAACACCGAUGGCGAAGGCAGGUCUCUGGGCAUUAACUGACGCUCAUGCACGAAAGCGUGGGGAGCAAACAGG
rnacentral:rRNA from 1 species